rnacentral:rRNA from 1 species
CACGUAGGGGCCAAGCGUUGUCCGGAUUUAUUGGGCGUAAAGAGCUCGUAGGCGGUUGGGUAAGUUGGAUGUGAAAAUCUCCUGCUUAACCGGGAGGCGCCAUUCAAAACUGGGGGAGCUUGAGGUCAGCAGGGGAAGGUGGAAUUCCCGGUGUAGUGGUGGAAUGCGUAGAGAUCGGGAGGAACACCAGUGGCGAAAGCGACCUUCUGGGCUGCACCUGACACUCUAGUGCGAAAGCGUGGGGGAGCAAACAGG